UGAGGCUGUGGGUGGAGGGAUUAGGGAGCAGGGUCAGUCCUGACAACGGCAGUCAGGAAAAACCCUGGUGGAAUUGUGCAUCCCGGGAGAGAGGUGGGGCAGAAGAGGCAGCAACACUCGGAACCAGCCCUUGGGAGUCACAUCUUUCAGGAUGGAUGACAAACCCAGCAGGAAGAAACCUUGGAGCAUCAGGGAAAUUCUGUUCCUUCUGAACUAAGUCCUCAGUAAACAGGAAAAGGUGAUGAAGGCUGCUUUGGCUCAGCUGCCCAUGCGGCUCUCUUGUGCUCGCCUGCUCCUACGAUAUUGUCAUCUGUGAUGGGGCGCUCACUCCCUGCUUAAGGCUGCCUGUUCCCCCUCCAGACAGGUCCACCUGCUGGACAGCUGUUCUGCAUGUUUCUCUUCUUGUACUGAGAUGGCAUCUGCCUCCCUAUUGUUUUGGGAAAUUUUCUUUACAAGGGAAAUUCUGUAAUUUUAUUAAGCUAAGUAUCUAAAAUGUUCGAAAUUUGGGAAAGAAAAUGAUGUUUGGGGUUGUAUAUGCUUAGAGACACUACAUGGUUAUAGAAAAAAACCCCACAAAAUCAGCAGACUUAGAGCCACAUGGCUUGGUCAAAAAGAGACAGCAUGGCAGGGGGACCUGGAGGUGAAGAGGAGGAGGACUCCCCAGUGGUGAUAUCCACCCACAAGAGCAAGAGGCAUCAGCAGGAGGUUGUGGGGAGGAUGACACCAGGGGUCACAUGGGAGUCUGCAAAUUCCAACCUCUCGUGCCACCUGCCUGUUGCUUCUGCCUGGUGGAGAAGAGCAAAUAUAAAUCAAGUAUCCGUGAAUUUAUGUGGCUUUGCCUGUCCUACUGGACAGCAUGGCCAUGUGGAGAAAGCCCUGAACUAGGAGUGGACAGAACUCAUCUUCUGCUGGCUCCCACUCUCCCUGCCCUCUGCCUUCCCCGGGACAAGAGCUCGCUAGUGUCCAAGAGCCUUCUUUUAACAAGACUUCCUUCAUCAGCCCUCUACCGUGGCUCUAAUCAUCCUUCAGGUUUGGGAGCCCUGGAGUUAGAUCAACUCUGCCAUUGUAGCUGACGUGGUUGCUGGUGACGUGGGGCAGGCUGGACGACAUCAUCCACACACCACAGCCCUUAUUAGCUGGGAUGGUGAAAGGGGCUGGUCAUGGACACUGAGUAGCGGGUGAGGCAACACCCAGUGUCUCCCCAAGAGGUGAAGCAAAGAUGGCACUGGCCUGGGAGACAAGAGUCCCUGGCGUGCUAAUGGCCUUGGACAAAUCACUUUAUGGCUGGAGGCUUCACCUUCAUACAAGAGGGUAACAACCAGAUGGGGAUGAAGCUCUCUGUUUCACCGAUCCCGUGGGUUACAAGGUGAUUUAUGAGAGGCUCUUGUACUCUGAGAGGGACUGUGUGGCUGUGGCCUGAGAUCAACCUGUUCUUCAGGACGUCUUUGAGGCCCAGGGAAGACUGUAACUUUCUCAGGACCCACAAGCUAAGGAUGGAAUCUGGGCUUCCUGCCUCCCUGGCUGGGCUAGACCCAAGACCCGUUCCCCCAGGCACAUGCGCCUCACCAUAGAUGGUGUUUCCUUCUAUCAGUCCUUUGCCUUCGUCUCCCACGACCACACCAUCUGAGUAGCCGAAGCAGAUGAGGUUGCUCCUGAGGACGGGGACUCCUCCUCGACGGAUGUCUACACCUCCCCACUGAUUCUCACGGAUGACAUUUUCUAUGGAGAGGCAGAAGAGAGGGUCAAGACCCAAGGACCACCCACAUUGGCCAUGAGGACUUGGACAGCUGAGAGAAAGGACCUUCUGGACCAGGACACCAGGCCUUGCCUUGUCAACAAUCAGCAUCCUGAAUCUUGCUUGGUAUUUGGCUUUUCAGGGACUUGAGUGCUGUCUUCUUUCCUCAAGGGCAAGGUUUGUAUCUUUCUUGUGCUCUCUUAUAUUCCUAAUACCCGCUGUACCCAGUGGCCUUAAGGACCAACAACUAAGAAUAAACUGGCUUUAGAGUCUCUGGACCAAGGCCAGGCAGGCUGUUCUGGGGCUGUUUCUAGGAGGGCUGAGGCAGAAUGCAGCCAUUCCCCCACCAGCCUGGGGAGGCACAAGCUGGUCCUUCUCAGGCUCAGCUCUGGACUGCCACAGCCUUCCUCUCCUCAUCCACCACCUCUCUGGGAGUGGACCGAAGAGUCACAAGUCAGGGGGUUGGUGCUGGGAUACUGAUAUUCCCAAUACUACGGCUGGGCAGACUCUCAGUUUCCUGACACUGGAGUGCAAUGGCCCAGGAGACUCUAUGUGACUGGCCCCUUCCCGCCUCUGUGACCCUGUCUGACUUGUGACUCCCUGCUCCUCCUUCACCACACCCAGUCACACCAGUAACCUCCCUGCUCCCCAGGCAUGCCAACUGUGUUUCACAGGUGGCCCUGCUUAGAAUUCCGGUUCUUUUCUCAGACUUUGUCCUGUCACCCAGGUCUGGCCUUCUCAGAAAUGCCUGCCCUGACCACACAAUCCUAAAUACCCACAUAGUCCCUCUAUCACUAUAUUUUAAUUAAUUUCAAUAAAUUAUUUCAAUUAUUGCAUAUAAACAUAACAUUUUACGUAUUAUAUAUUUACACAUAAUAUACAUUUAUGUAAAUAUAUCAAAGUUAAUAAUAUAUAAUUAUCUCUAGAGCACUUAUCACUCACAGAUACGCCUCUUGUGUGUGUGUGUGUACAUGUUUAUUUUCCCCUAAAAUGUCAGGAACCCAAGGGUUGCUAUUCACAGAACUGUUCUGUUCACUGAUGUAUCCCCAUCUCCUGCAUACCUUGUGUGUUCAAUAAACAUCUGAUGAAUGAA